rnacentral:lncRNA from 1 species
CUCCCUUAGGGGGGGCGCGCGGCCGGUCGGGGGGCGUGGGCGGCGGUGUGAGCCGGGCUAGAUUCCGGUCCCAAGAUUUGCAUAUUUUGGCAUCCAGUGGAAAAGGAAAGAAGAACGGAACCCGCAGCCUUUAAAGGAACCGCACAGGCUGUAGCGUCACCCAGGGAGGCGGUGGGGGUGGGGGUGGGGGCCUGAAAAAUUAGCCAGCGGCUCUGGCCUCUGGCCGUAGAGCCCGGCAGCAGGGAGGGCCAGGGAGGGGCGGCAACCAGCGAGCUUCGGGCGCGCCAGUCCCAGACCUGGCCCCUCCAGAGUGCUUCCUGCUGCGCGUGCACCCGGAGGCUGCGGAGGGUCUCCACGGGUUCCUGCCUGGGGCCGGGAGACGCUGUGGGGUCCGCGGUCCUGGGCGAGCUGCAGGCCCGAAGGCUGCAGUGCCCAUGUCUCCCCGCGCGAGGCAGAGCUCAGCCUGCGGGGGUGGUGGGAAGGAAGUGAGAGGCCUCCGGGCCGCCCAGCUCAACUCCGGAGGACCCCACCGUGAUGCACCCACUUUCCACCUGUCAGGAUCUCUCCCCAGGAGGGGCUGCAGAGUGAGGAGCUAGAAGCCCUUAUCCUGUUCGACUGGGGCCUGAGUUGGGAAAGGCAGAGGCAGUGGAAGCAUUUGGGAUCCUUAAGCUUCCAGGGCCCCAGAGGCUGUGGAGUGCAGCCACUCCCAACUGGAGGAGACGGCCUCUCUCCCAACACUUUUCGGCACGCUGGACUUGUUGCUUCCAAGUAGAAGAGCAUGGGGCAAGGUUUGCUGACCUGCACCAGGGCUUGCUUACCCGUCAGCAAGAUUGGAUAGGAGUCUGGGGACACGAUUCCUUCCCUCUCCUUUCUACUAGUUCUUUGCAUAAAACGGGAGCCUUCAAUUCAAUUAAAGUCUUCAUUAAAGCUUCACUGUGACCUUGGGCAAACGUCUGUUUUUUUUUUCUUAGCCUCAGUUUCCUUGUCUGUAAAUUGGGAUAAUAGUAUCUACCC